UACGAAGGGGGCUAGCGUUGCUCGGAAUUACUGGGCGUAAAGGGCUCGUAGGCGGCCAACUAAGUCGGACGUGAAAUCCCUCAGCUUAACUGGGGAACUGCGUCCGAUACUGGAUGGCUUGGAUUUGGGAGAGGGAUGCGGAAUUCCAGGUGUAGCGGUGAAAUGCGUAGAUAUCUGAAGGAACACCGGUGGCGAAGGCGGCAUCCUGGACCAAUAUUGACGCUGAGGAGCGAAAGCCAGGGGAGCAAACGGG
rnacentral:rRNA from 1 species